UUUAAAUGGUAUUUGAUUUAUUUGGAAGCUCUCCUCAAACCUUGCUGCAAGCGACAAGAAAUGAAGCCUUACCUCAUUUAGGUGUUCCUGAAUUUCCCAUCUGUAAAAAUCUGGAGCUCUGAGUUCAAGAGAGGGGCACUGCAGAAUAAAUAAAUUAUUGCUCUCAAGAGAUUCUACCUCAGGUGGAUCUUCCAAGGAAGCAGCUAUUAAAGGAGAUCUGUUCCUCCAGAGAAUUUCCACUGAGAAGUGGUGACUAAUUUGAUCAUGAGAGAACUUCCAUACUGCAACGAGUCUUUCAUCUGUGUCCACAUCAGGAGCCUCCCCGUCAUGCUUCCAGACAAGCCUGCUUGCUAAUUGAUUUGAUUUGUGGUGGGACCAACUACUGGCUGCACUGGAGGUUUGCUGAGGCUUAAGGCGCUGUCCUGCCAGCCUCCCUCUUGUGACUAAUCCCGGUCAUUACAACCGAGGGGAACAAGAGCUUACGCUGUCAGUGUUUAUCUAAGAUCAUCCUACUGCAAGAAGACUCUGUAAUACCUCAUAUAGAGCGUAGUGGAAGCCAAGUCAAAGACUCCUCAUCUGCCUUGUCUCCACUGCGUACUGCUACGCACUGCAGACGUUGGCUAUGUUACACUUACAAAACCUCAGAACACUUCAAUUUGAGCAUCCACUAGCCUGGGUUUGAUGCCAUUGUAAAAGGACUCUUAUUUUAAGAUAGCUGUGGCAAAAACUGGGGUUUUGCUUUUCCCAAUUUUAAUUUGGGCUUGUUCUAAUAAUAGCAU